CCUCCCGAAAGGGGAGAUUAUACCGCUAAUAUGUUUUGAUUCGCUGAUUGAAACAUCAAAGGAGUAAUCCGCUUUGAGAUGGACCCCGCGGCGCAUUAGCUAGUUGGUGAGGUAACGGCUCACCAAGGCGACGAUGCGUAGCCGACCUGAGAGGGUGAUCGGCCACAUUGGAACUGAGACACGGUCCAGACUCCUACGGGAGGCAGCAGUGGGGAAUAUUGCGCAAUGGGGGAAACCCUGACGCAGCAACGCCGCGUGAAUGAUGAAGGCCUUCGGGUUGUAAAGUUCUGUCUUCUGGGACGAUAAUGACGGUACCAGAGGAGGAAGCCACGGCUAACUACGUGCCAGCAGCCGCGGUAAUACGUAGGUGGCAAGCGUUGUCCGGAUUUACUGGGCGUAAAGGAUGCGUAGGCGGACAUUUAAGUCAGAUGUGAAAUACCCGAGCUUAACUUGGGUGCUGCAUUUGAAACUGGGUGUCUAGAGUGCAGGAGAGGUAAGUGGAAUUCCUAGUGUAGCGGUGAAAUGCGUAGAUAUUAGGAGGAACACCAGUGGCGAAGGCGACUUACUGGACUGUAACUGACGCUGAGUCACGAAAGCGUGGGUAGCAAACAGGAUUAGAUACCCUGGUAGUCCACGCUGUAAACGAUGAGUGCUAGGUGUUGGCCAGCGAUGGUCAGUGCCGAAGUUAACACAAUAAGCACUCCGCCUGGGGAGUACGGUCGCAAGACUGAAACUCAAAGGAAUUGACGGGGACCCGCACAAGCAGCGGAGCAUGUGGUUUAAUUCGAAGCAACGCGAAGAACCUUACCAAGGCUUGACAUCCCCUUGACCAGUGCAGAGAUGUACUCUCUCCUUCGGGAGCAAGGGUGACAGGUGGUGCAUGGUUGUCGUCAGCUCGUGUCGUGAGAUGUUGGGUUAAGUCCCGCAACGAGCGCAACCCUUAUCCUUAGUUGCCAGCAGGUUAAGCUGGGCACUCUAAGGAGACUGCCGAUGAUAAAUCGGAGGAAGGUGGGGAUGACGUCAAAUCAUCAUGCCCCUUAUGUCUUGGGCUACACACGUGCUACAAUGGUCGGUACAACGGGCAGCGAAAGAGUGAUCUGGAGCGAAUCCCAAUAAACCGAUCUCAGUUCGGAUUGUAGGCUGCAACUCGCCUACAUGAAGUCGGAGUUGCGAGUAAUCGCGCAU
rnacentral:rRNA from 1 species